GAGUUUGAUCCUGGCUCAGAAUCAACGCUGGCGGCGUGCCUAACACAUGCAAGUCGAACGCGAAAGCCCCGCAAGGGGUAAGUAGAGUGGCAAACGGGUGAGUAACACGUGGGUGACCUGCCUUCGAGUGGGGGAUAACGUCCCGAAAGGGACGCUAAUACCGCAUGACAUCCUGCCUUUGAAGAGGUGGUGAUCAAAGCUGGGGAUCGCAAGACCUAGCGCUGGAAGAGGGGCCCGCGUCCGAUUAGCUAGUUGGUGGGGUAAUGGCUCACCAAGGCAACGAUCGGUAGCCGGCCUGAGAGGGCGGACGGCCACACUGGGACUGAGACACGGCCCAGACUCCUACGGGAGGCAGCAGUGGGGAAUUGUUCGCAAUGGGCGCAAGCCUGACGACGCAACGCCGCGUGGAGGAUGAAGAUCUUCGGGUCGUAAACUCCUUUCGAUCGAGACGAAUUCCCUUGGGGUGAACAAUCCCGAGGGUUGACGGUACCGAGAGAAGAAGCCCCGGCUAACUCCGUGCCAGCAGCCGCGGUAAUACGGGGGGGCAAGCGUUGUUCGGAAUUACUGGGCGUAAAGGGCUCGUAGGUGGCCAACUAAGUCAGACGUGAAAUCCCUCGGCUUAACCGGGGAACUGCGUCUGAUACUGGAUGGCUUGAGUUUGGGAGAGGGAUGCGGAAUUCCAGGUGUAGCGGUGAAAUGCGUAGAUAUCUGGAGGAACACCGGUGGCGAAGGCGGCAUCCUGGACCAACACUGACGCUGAGGAGCGAAAGCCAGGGGAGCAAACGGGAUUAGAUACCCCGGUAGUCCUGGCCCUAAACGAUGAAUGCUUGGUGUGGCGGGUAUCGAUCCCUGCCGUGC
rnacentral:rRNA from 1 species